rnacentral:rRNA from 1 species
AAUCUUCCGCAAUGGCCGCAAGUCUGACGGAGCAACGCCGCUUCAGUGAUGAAGGUUCUCCGAUCGUAACACUCUGUUGUGAGGGACGAACAAGUACCCUAGUCACUGCCGGUACCUUCACGGUACCUGCCGCGGAAUCCACGUCUAACUCCGUACCAGCAGCCGCGGUAAUACGUAGGUGGCAAGCGUUGUCCGGAUUUAUUGGGCGUAAAGCGCGCGCAGGCGGUCUUUUAAGUCUGAUGUGAAAUCUUACAGCUUAACUGUAAGCGGUCAUUGGAAACUGGGAGACUUGAGUGCAGAAGAGGAGAGUGGAAUUCCAUGUGUAGCGGUGAAAUGCGUAGAGAUAUGGAGGAACACCAGUGGCGAAGGCGACUCUCUGGUCUGUAGCUGACGCUGAGGCGCGAAAGCGUGGGGAUCAAACA